rnacentral:rRNA from 1 species
GACGAACGCUGGCGGCGGGCUUAACACAUGCAAGUCGAACGAAGUGGCGAACGGGUGAGUAACGCGUAAUCAACCUGCCCUUCAGAGGGGGACAACAGUUGGAAACGACUGCUAAUACCGCAUACGGAAGGAGGGGAUUGCGUCUGAUUGGCUAGGUGGAGGGGUAACGGCCAGCCAAGUCGAGGAGCAGCAGCCUGGGUUGGAGGGUGGACCGCCCCAUCGGGACUGGAACACCGCCCAGACUCCUACGGGAGGCAGGAGUGGGGAAUUGUCCGCAAUUGACCACAGUCUGACGGAGCAACGCCGCGUGAGGGAUGACGGCCUUCGGGUUGUAAAGCUCUUUUAAUCGGGACGCGGUACCGGAAUAGAAAGCAACGGCUAACUACGUGCCAGCAGCCGCGGUAAUUC